UCUCCCCUUCAUUUCCUUUUCCUUUUAUCUUCUUCUUUCUCCAUUCUCUUUUAUCUUCUUUCUUUUACUCUCCUUUCAAAAUCUCAUUCACACCACUACUGGACUGCCAUUGUUGCAAUUAUUGCUAUAACUGGAUUUUGCAUUUGGGUCGUCGCUAAUGCCAUCCCUUGAUCGAGUCAUCGCUGUUGCCAUUGCUUGAUCUAGCCAUCGAGUCAUCUUCUCCCCUUAUCUUCUUCACUAGUUCUCCAGUCUAUCGUGACUGUUCAACCAUAUAAUUUUAAUUUUGAUUUCUAUUUUGUUUGUUAACUGAAAUUGUUGAAAGUUGGAUGAAUAGAUUUAGUUUGGAUUACUUUAUUGUUAAUUUCUCCUUUCUAAUUCAUAAAUUUAGUUAUUGGGUAUUGGAAUUUUGAGGGAAAGUCUAGUUGGGGAUUUGAGAGUAUGGGAGGAAGAGUAGAUUUUGUAAAAGGAGGAGUUGGAAUGCCAAAAACUAAUUAAUGGAAUCGAAGGGAAUGGAAC
rnacentral:lncRNA from 1 species